GCCGGCGGAGCAGCGGUGAGCGCCGCCGGCUCCGGCCCGGCUCCGGCUCCGUGGCCGGCUCCGGCUCCGUGGCCGGCUCCGGCUCC
rnacentral:tRNA from 14 species